rnacentral:rRNA from 1 species
CCUACGGGAGGCAGCAGUGAGGAAUAUUGGUCAAUGGGCGCGAGCCUGAACCAGCCAAGUCGCGUGAGGGAUGAAGGUUCUAUGGAUCGUAAACCUCUUUUAUAAGGGAAUAAAGUGUGGGACGUGUCCUAUUUUGUAUGUACCUUAUGAAUAAGGAUCGGCUAACUCCGUGCCAGCAGCCGCGGUAAGACGGAGGAUCCGAGCGUUAUCCGGAUUUAUUGGGUUUAAAGGGUGCGUAGGCGGCCUUUUAAGUCAGCGGUGAAAGUCUGUGGCUCAACCAUAGAAUUGCCGUUGAAACUGGGUGGCUUGAGUAUGUUUGAGGCAGGCGGAAUGCGUGGUGUAGCGGUGAAAUGCUGAGAUAUCACGCAGAACUCCGAUUGCGAAGGCAGCUUGCCAAGCCAUGACUGACGCUGAUGCACGAAAGCGUGGGGAUCAAACAGGAUUAGAUACCCGGGUAGUC